UACGUAGGGGGCAAGCGUUGUCCGGAUUUAUUGGGCGUAAAGAGCGUGUAGGCGGCUUUACAGGUCCGUUGUGAAAACUCGAGGCUCAACCUCGAGACGCCGGUGGAAACCGUAAGGCUAGAGUCCGGAAGAGGAGAGUGGAAUUCCUGGUGUAGCGGUGAAAUUCGUAGAUAUUCGCAAGAACACCAGUGGCGAAGGCG
rnacentral:rRNA from 1 species